rnacentral:rRNA from 1 species
ACUCCUACGGGAGGCAGCAGUGAGGAAUAUUGGACAAUGGGCGCAAGCCUGAUCCAGCCAUGCCGCGUGCAGGAAGAAGCAUCUAUGGUGUGUAAACUGCUUUUGUACGGGAAGAAACACUCCUUCGUGAAGGAGCUUGACGGUACCGUAAGAAUAAGGAUCGGCUAACUCCGUGCCAGCAGCCGCGGUAAUAC